rnacentral:rRNA from 1 species
AGCGAACGCUGGCGGCAGGCCUAACACAUGCAAGUCGAACGAAGCCUUCGGGCUUAGUGGCGGACGGGUGAGUAACACGUGGGAACGUACCUUUCGGUUCGGAAUAACGCAGAGAAAUUUGCGCUAAUACCGAAUGAGCCCUUCGGGGGAAAGAUUUAUCGCCGAAAGAUCGGCCUGCGUUGGAUUAGGUAGUUGGUGUGGUAAAGGCGCACCAAGCCUACGAUCCAUAGCUGGUCUGAGAGGAUGAUCAGCCACACUGGGACUGAGACACGGCCCAGACUCCUACGGGAGGCAGCAGUGGGGAAUCUUGCGCAAUGGGCGAAAGCCUGACGCAGCCAUGCCGCGUGAAUGAUGAAGGUCUUAGGAUUGUAAAAUUCUUUUACCAGGGACGAUAAUGACGGUACCUGGAGAAAAAGCCCCGGCUAACUUCGUGCCAGCCGCCGCAGUAAUAC